GGCCAUAUCACGUUGAAAUACCGGUUCUCGUGCGAUCACCCAAGUUAAGUAACGUCACACCUGAUCAUUACCUAGAUGGGUGACUACUUGGAAAUACCAAGUGCUGUA